rnacentral:rRNA from 1 species
GGACCCGCACAAGCGGUGGAGCAUGUGGUUUAAUUCGAUGCAACGCGAAAAACCUUACCUACACUUGACAUACUUCGAAUUUUUCUAGAGAUAGAUUAGUGCCUUCGGGAGCGAAGAUACAGGUGCUGCAUGGCUGUCGUCAGCUCGUGUCGUGAGAUGUUGGGUUAAGUCCUAUAACGAGCGCAACCCUUACCCUUAUUUGCCAGCGGUUAGGCCGGGAACUAUAAGGGAACUGCCGGUAAUAAGCCGGAGGAAGGUGGGGACGACGUCAAGUCAUCAUGGCCCUUACGUGUAGGGGCUACACACGUGCUACAAUGGGAGAUACAGACGGUUGCUAAAGCGCGAGCUGGAG